rnacentral:rRNA from 1 species
UACGUAGGGUGCGAGCGUUAAUCGGAAUUACUGGGCGUAAAGCGUGCGCAGGCGGUUGUGCAAGACAGAUGUGAAAGCCCCGGGCUUAACCUGGGAAUGGCAUUUGGGACUGCAAGGCUUGAGUGCGGCAGAGGAGACUGGAAUUCCUGGUGUAGCAGUGAAAUGCGUAGAUAUCAGGAGGAAUACCGAUGGCGAAGGCAGGUCUCUGGGCUGACACUGACGCUCAUGCACGAAAGCGUGGGGAGCAAACAGG